rnacentral:rRNA from 1 species
UACAGAGGGUGCGAGCGUUAAUCGGAAUUACUGGGCGUAAAGCGUGCGUAGACGGUAGCGUAAGUCGGGUGUGAAAGCCCCGGGCUCAACCUGGGAAUUGCAUUCGAGACUGCUCUGCUAGGGUGCGGAAGAGGGAAGCGGAAUUUCCGGUGUAGCGGUGAAAUGCGUAGAUAAUCGGAAGGAACACCAGUGGCGAAAGCGGA